rnacentral:lncRNA from 1 species
AUUUUGUCGGUGGCCCUCCCCUUUCCUCGCCCUCACCUCACCUUUUACAAAGGUCCUUCAAAGAACACUCUCUCCAUUCUGAAAGCUGAAACGGGUCAAGAGGUUGGAGGUAGAUGAUGUUCCUGGAGUACAAGGAAGCGGCAGAUUGAAAACCCUUUGAUCAAAGAGUCCUAUGUCCUUAAGGAGUCAUCUGCGUUUGGUGUGUACGGAAAUGCCACUAUGUAAAGUGUCAUUCCUGUAUGACUCAUUGUGCCAUUUAUGUUUGCUAAUGUCCAAAUAACAGGUUCUAAGGUUAUGUAUUUAAUUUUACACCACUUACUCUUGGUUUUCUCGUUCAAUUAUAUGUAAAGUCACACAGGAAAUGCAUGAGGUUAGGUUUAAUUCGAUUUUAAUUCAGUUAUGCACAAUCACUGGAGAACAUAGCUGCGUACAAGCUUGUACUUUACCAAAUACACAUCUGAAAUUACAAUCCAACAAUUUUGCAGUCUACAAAUUCCCCUAAUCUUCUGAAGGGCUAAUUAAUCAGAGUAGAACUCAUAACCAUAAUGAAUGCACAUUUACAUCUCUUCGUCCUUGUUUUCAGACAGAAUUACAUGAAGGUGUUCAUACAAAUUGCUUCUGCGCUUCACAGAAUCACGUUCGUUAAAUGCUUGAAGGUCUCGCUUUAUAUUUAAUUAAACAAAUUGACCAUGCCUCUGGCUCUGGUUCGACAAUGCAUGCUUCCAGCAGGAUGCACAGCCAACUAGGGUUUGUAUGCCCUGCAGAAGGACCCUAGUAUGUGGAAUAGGUGGUUGUCGGUACCAAAGUCUGCACCAGUAACGCUAGCUUGGUGUGAAAUAACCGGUGGUGAUGUUUGAGAGAUGUCCAGUUUGUAGCUGAACAUGCGGCAUAGAGAACACCAUCAAGGGGACCCUCAGCAUCAUGCAGAUAUGCCCUCGCUGUGAACAUUUCUAUAAAUGGAACAGGGAGGACUCUUCAGUAUCUAUGAUGAGGGGCCAGGAGCUGAUCUAUACUGCCAUGCACAUUAAUGGGGCGCUGGCAAAAACCUUACCUCCAGCUUCACCUCUUGCCUGAUCACCAAUGGUUGUCGAUGGGGAGACCAGAAUUAGCGCUCUAGGUCGCCAUGCUCCCACACCUCAGCCAGAUUGACAGGUUCCCGCGCCUUAGCAGAGGUGACCGGUCCGCUCCUGAUCCCCGGGAUCGUCAUUUUUAUUCGGCAUGUCGGGAAGGGGGUACUGUCAUGUGUGCUCCCUCUCCGGCUUCUAGGUCACCAGGCUGCUGUCACCAUCGUCAGGUGCACCUGCGCGUCAGACUCACCUGGACUCCAUCACCUCCCUGAUUUCCUUGGUUCCUUCCCGAGGCGGUGUUUCAUGUCUGUGUGCUGUUAGUGUUUCUUGUUUUGUAUUAUGUUCUGUUUAUUGAAACACUCACUCCCUGAACUAGCUUCCCAACUCUCAGCGCACAUUGUUACACAUACAACCUUCCCACAAUGUUCUGGGAAUGAUGCAGAAAAGUUGUUUGGCUUUGGAAAAUUCUCAGCACAUUUAAGGAACUUGAUAAAUGUUAUUUUCUUGGUAUGUCAUUACUCUAACAGAAUGUUUCCUAAAAGGUCAAGCAUGGUUACAUUUAAUUUAGGUUUUGAGAAUGUUCUAGGAACCUUCUGACUGGUUUGACAUUGGGAAUGUUCUCAGAUGGAAGCAUGAAACCUGCAGAAAACAAUUUAUAGUUCAAUUGUUUACACACGUUUGCUGAAUCUUUGGCCCAUUUUCCCCAAAACUCUAGCAAAAGCAAACACUGCAUUCAAAACUUCUUUCCCAAAUGUUUUUUUUUUUGUAUCAAAAUGACGCGUCAUAUGAAUAGAUCUGUCUACCAACAACACACUGAUGUGCUCAACACAAAACACUAUAAAUAUCCCAACAAACACAAUACCGUAACAAACAUUUAUUUCCAAAAUGCAGUAUUUUUGAACACUUGUGUUUUGUAUGUAACACUUUCAUACCCAACAGGAGAAACAUUGAGUAAGAUGAAGGGUUUUCUGUACAAUAUAUAUAUAUUUUUUUAAGUGGCUCAUUCUUUCAAAACUCUAAACAGAAAAAGACAAACACAUGCGAAAUGUAAUUAAAGACAUUAGGCAGCAUCCUGCCUCUAUUUUGGUCUGACCACAGCACCUCAUCUACAUCACAAGCGAUGUUCUCCCUGGCUAAACAGUGGGGAAAGAAUCUUCUGGAGUGACGGAUCCAGCUGCCGAAAGCCCCCACAUCAACUUCAUCACAUGCAUCCUCCAUUGCACGCAUGCCUCUUCUCCAGGCGAGGGAAUAGCGGUCAUACACCUGCCAUCGCCAUGCAACUCUUCAAUUGGGUUUAGGAAUGGUGAAUAUGGUGGGAGGUAUAGAACAAUAAAUUGUGGGUGGUCGAUGAACCAGUUGCGGACCAGAGCAGCCCAGUGGAAACUCACGUUGUCCCAGAUGACAACAUACCUGGGCUGCUCUGGUCCACCCCUCUGCUCGGCUGGAAUGAGGAUGCCAUGUAACGUGUCCAGGAACGUGAUGAGAAGGGCGGUGUUGUAGGGACCAAGGUUGGCAUGGUGAUGGAGGAUGCCUUGCUGGCUAACUGCUGCGCACAUGGUGAUAUUCCCGCCACGCUGUCCAGGGACAUUCACAAAGGCACGCUGGCCAAUAAUGCUCCGUCCCCAUACCCUUCUUUUGGCUAGGUUGAAGUCAGCCUCAAUGUAAAUAUAAACGUGCUGAAUUGCAGCAGCAUCCAGCUCCAAGACUCUGAAACAGACAAACAAUGUGACAUAGACAGAGAGCAGUCAAUAUGGUGAGGCACAAUACACUGGAUUACAGUACUGUAAAGUGUCUAUACAGUGCUGAUAUGAUAGUAAAUUCACAGUAUAGUACUUAUUUGCACAUAUUCAUAGCGCUGUUAUUUAACCUCAUCUGAGUUUUGCUCAAAUGGCACCCUGUAGACCUGUUUCAUCCGGAUUCAGUUGCACUGUAAUACACGGUCCAAUGUAGACAAGCCUGGUGAAUGUUAUUGAAUAUUGUGUUGUCUGCAAUGAUGUGGUUCUGGAUUUCUCAUAGUCUAAUGGUAUGGUUUGCCACCACCAUGUUCACAAUAGCGGUCUCCUGUUCUGGUGUGAACACCCGGUGUCUUCCACCAUGGUCUGGCCGACUCAGUUCAGAAGAUCCACAAAUAUGAUUGGUUACAGUAAGCUAAAAUAAUCUAUUUUCUUUCAAUAUGAAAUUACAUUACUGGCCAACAAUCACUGUGUAACAUAGGCCUACUGAUAUGUCAGAUUACAGUAUACAUACAUAAAGAGCAUAGUGUAGAUGGUAGGUAACUUACAGGUUUUCAUUUCUGAAUGUACGGAUGAUAGAUGCAACCGUGUAGCGGCUCAGUUUGGGCUGAACUCUCUGCCCUGCCUCCCUCAUACUCAAUAUAUGGUUGAGCACAUGGUCAACCAAUGUGACCCUAAUCUCAUCUGAGACAACUGUCCGUCCUCAUCCUCCUUCACCUCUAGCUCUUGCUUCACCAUUGACUUCCAUUUUCCUCCAAAACAGGAGGCGCUCAUGGCCUUUUAUAGUGCUAAAGCUCUGAUUUCUAAGUGAACAACUCAGCAACUAAUGUUUACACCUGUGAGGAGUGGGUGUUGCCAAUUGGUGUACAGCGCGUGUCAUUGUGAUUGGCGUUGCUUUCCAAAGGGACUAAAGAGAUUUUAAGUUUGAAUGUUGUGCCUAAUGUAGAGAACUCUGUGUAGUGUUUUGCAAAAAGUGUGAUAUAGAAUUGAAACUGAAUGUAAAGUAAGAAUUGUGCUUGCAAUUUUGCAGACUUGGUUUAAGGAUUUGAUACAUGAGUUUCAGGUUUCGGUGAUUGCGUUUCAAGUUCCAAUUUUAGUGUGUAAACAAUUGGGAAAAACUGUAAAGUCAUGUUCUCAGAACAUUAAGAAAACUUUCCAUAAAAAAACACACAAAAAAUGUGUAACGUUCAAAGAACGUUCUAAGAAUGUUAUUGAAAAACAUACAUUCCAUUCUCAGCGUCAACAAACCUCUUUCUAGCCUCUUAUCUUGUUAAGUGUAUUCAGGUGUGUUUGCCGUGCCUACUAAUUGACCACACCUGAUCUUAAUGAGUGCUUUUUUCCUUUGAAAUGGGGUCUGUUUUAAUAGACUAAAAUUAACAGCUUUGUAUGUUAAAAAAACAUGGCAUUCUAACUCCAUCCUGGUGGCGCUAGCUCCAUCCUGAUGGCGCAGUGGACUAAUUCCAUAGAUAAAAAGCAGAAGAUCACAGAAAUGUGUUUUCAUGAUUAAUGCCUAAGCAAAUACAUUUUCCAUGUGUCCUAUCUGUGCUUGGAGUUCAAAACAGUUAACACAAACUAAGCUAGUAGUGUUUUUAAAAGUCUUAUUGAAACAUUCAGUGAAAGUUAAGGAAGUUAUUAAAACAAAUCUAAAUAACCUAUAAUUCCCAUUCUCAGAAAGCUAAUAAAACCUUACAGAAAAAUGUUCAGGGAACAAUUGUAAAACGAUCUCAGAACCUCCCUGUAACCAAAAACGUAUGUUCCCACAACUUCCAAGGAACCAAAUGUGCUAGCUGGGUUGUGUAUACUGAGUAUACCAAACAUAAGGGAACACUUUCCUAAUAUUGAGUUGCACCCUUAGAACAGCCUCAAUUUGUCGGGGAAUGGACUCUGCAAGGUUUUGAAAGCGUUCCACAGGGAUGCUUGCCCAUGUUGACUCCAAUGCUUCCCACAGUUGUGUCAAGUUGGCUGGAUGUCAUUUGGGAAGUGGACCAUUCUUGAUACACACAGGAAACUAUUGAGCAUGGAAAACCCAGCAGCGUUGCAGUUCUUGACACAAAACGGUGUGCCUGGCACAUUCUACCAUACCCCAUUCAAAGGCACUUAAUUAUUUUGUCUUGUCACAUACACGAUCCAUGUCUCAACUGUCUCAAGCAUUAAAAAUAAUUGUUUAACUUGUCUCCUCCCCUUCAUCUACACUGAUUGAAGUGGAUUUAACAAGUGACAUCAAUAAGGGGUCAUAGCUUUCACCUGGAUUCACCUGGUCAGUCUAUGACAUGGAAAGAGCAGGUGUUCUUAAUGUUUCGUACACUCAGUGUAUAUCUAUUAUAUAUUUCUUUCUGAUUUGCUUCAAAAAAGUCUCUCCACAAAAUGUCCCAGGUGGCCAGAACUGGCAGAGAUGUGUGACUGCCUUUGAAAACGUAUUUCAUUGUUGGCUCAAAGAAUACCCCAUUGUCCCGCAAUCAAAAUAGCAUCAUGCUCAAUUUGUACAAAUUAUUGAAAACAAUAGCAAACAACAGGCGCUGCUUUUGCCAAUGAAUGCAUGGCUGACAGGCUAGUUUUUCUUCAUAAUAAAAUGUGACCAAGGUGCUAAAUUACAUCUUGUAGAUCUGAGGUACUGUAGCUGGGUGGUUAAGCUGCAGAAAUACAGACAGACAGAGGUGAUGGAGGCUUCUAUAAUGCAUAGCCUUUACAGCACUGCAUCUUGUAAGGCUCAUUACAUUCACUUUCCAUCUCUCUCUCUCUCUCUCUCCCUGUCUGAUUUACCCAGCGAUGAGCCUUUCAGACCUACAUGUUGACAGCUAAUAUCUGUUUUAAUUAAUGGUGCUGAACUGAGAAGUAUAGGAUCGGACAGACAGGUGUGUGUGUGGUGUGUGUCUCGGUGGACGUAUUUAAGGAUUCUUCACUUUCACUCAAGUAGGAAAAUUGGGUGCUUUUUCCUCCACUGACCCUCGUUCAAUCACAUCACAUCCUCUCUCUUUGUCUCUCUCUGGCUGCGUUUACAUACGCAGCCCAAUUCUGAUCUUUCGCCCAAUUAUUGGCAAAAGUGCAGAAAAAAAUAUCAGAAUUGAGCUGGCUGUGUAAACACAGCCUAAGAGGCUCAAAGACAGCUUCCCCAGGUAGGCUGCCUAUCAAUACAACCUUAGCGUCUGGAUUCAAUCCGUAGCGCCGAAGAUCUGCAUUGUAGAACAAUUGAAAUUGCCUUUACAUUUAAAUCAUGUUAUAACACUGAUCAUCCACACUACUGAUUGAAACAGUCAGACUCAUUUCCACACUGCAGUUCCCUCACUUAUUCCACGUUGUCAGCAUCAAUUUUAACUCAGCUAUCACCUGCCAGUUCUGUCAAAUCACUGUACUGUUCUUAGUGAUGGGGAUAUGAAAUGUCCCCAGCCAUAUGGCUGAAAUCAAUUGACCAUGUGCCACACAUCAAGGAUCAGAGGUUUAUCAUUGGCUCAGGUUUGAAAAUUCACUUUUGGUAUAAACUGUGUAGGGAGGACAGCAGUUAUACAGUUAACCAGAAGACCCCACAAGAAUAGCAAACAAACCAAAAUUUGACCAACUGAGGUCAUACGGUGAAAGUGACUCAUCUCCAAUAUCUUCUGAUUGUGGUGCUGCUACAUCUGUGCCAGCUUCGAGUGAGAUCCUGAACAGCUGUCCUGCCUUUAAAAGCGAAGGAAAGCAGCCCAAAUAUCUACCCAGCAGGAGGUCUACCCAGCAGGCAAAACUGGUUGCAAUGACAUCAUUAUAACCAGAACCUGGGUCAAAAAGUGGGUAACCCAGCUGGUAUAUAAAUAUCUUAAAAAGUUGGCACAUCAUAGAAUACAUAUAGGAUCUCUGUGGGGUAUACAGCAUAUCAAAAGUGUACCCAAUGUAGGCCAAGGAGUAUCUGGUCUAGCAAACACCCUUAUUACACCACUUCCAUUUUCAUCUGGUUAGCCUCUGAGCCUAUGGCUGCCAGAAUCCCAAAAAUGUAUCAGUAGAGGAAGUCUAGUAGUAAUUUGACAGACAGCGGUAAAAUCCCAUUUGCAGAUGAAAAACCCUGUCUUCUGCAAUAAUAUUGGUCAAGGGGUUAGCUCACAUCUGGGAAACUGUACAUCACUCAAAGCUGAUCAGCAGGAAUUUGGAAUCUGGUCUCUUGUCGAAGCAUCCCUGUCAUAAUCCAAAAGCCUCAGUGAAAGUCCAAAUGUAUUUACUUACUGACUUAUUAAGGCCAGUAGCUCCCAAGGGACUCGACGACUCCUCUCCAUCAGUCUGUUCUGACCAGUCUUUUCAAUCUCGUUCCACCCCAUGCCGGAUCUUUUGGUGUCUGCUUUAAGCUCCUGCCUCUAGGUGUUUUGUGGGCUUAUUAAGGUGCUUCCGAUUACCUUAAAGAGUUCCAGGAUAGAGCUGGCUUGGUGAUGUUGGAGGGUGGUGAUGUUCAAAGGGUGUGGCCGAUCCAUCCUCAUCUGUUCCUUCAGAUUUCCUCCUCAAAUUCACCUCCUUGAAAAAUAAAUAAUAAGUUGUUCAUCUAUUUGUUUACUUGGAGUGAAUGGAGUGUGUGUGGGGUGGGGUGGGAGCGUCUUCCUGCGUUAAAUAACAAUUGUUAGUAGUAUUAUUUAAAAAAUUCAGUGGCAGCCAUGGCUAAAUGCAUAUAAGGGAAACACUGAAGCUAUUUAGUGAAUAAACAUGACUGAACAAAAUGAUACUAUGAAAUGAAAACAAAAACAAUGACAGCAAUGCACAACCAUCCAUCUGAGUGGCUCUUCUCAUCAUGAGUCAAGUUUAAAAUACGAAAAUGUAGAAUGAAAUGAGAGCAUCUAUUACUGUACAAGAUUGGAUGACAUGGACAGGUUUGAAUGAUUGAUCUUCUGAACUAUUCUAACCAACCGCUCCACAUUCAGCUAUGUCUCAAUUAUCAAGUGUUAUUCUGUAAAUACGAGAGUCUUGCGUAACACAUGACUGCCCUCUGUGUACCGGUAGUAGUGAUAUUUAGAAAACUCUUGAAAUCUCAUUCUAAAUCUCAUUCUGUUUGGUUGAAGAUCUAUUCAAUGUUUUAUUGACUUCAUAGCUAGCGCUUUUUCUUUUGAUGGUCAGUUUAACUGACCCAGAAUGUUACAGCUGAAUUGCUUGCCACAGGGACCACUCAUUCACAUCACCACCAGUAAUGGCUCAUUUUAAACAGUGGUCACCAUGCACGAAACAACACUAAACAAGGCAACAGUAAACAUGUCGUCCCCCACAAUUUUGUAAAUGGCAGAUCUCUAUGGCAAGACGCAUCAUUCACCUAAGUGGGUUAGCUAGACUAAUACAGUAUCCCUGAGAAUGUGCUAAAUUGAGUCAAACAGAUGAAAUAUAAACACAUGCCUGUUAUAGUGCCACCGUGUGGUCGAUAUGAAUCUUCUCGCAUAUGUUGAGUCUUGACAGUGGUGACAAAGUUUGUUACAAUAUGAAUAUCCUUGACUGAUUUAUAUGCCAGACCACACUCACGUGAAUGUUUAUUGGUUCAUGUUGUUUAAAGGUACUAGUACUAGGUAUCAGUCUGGAAAGUAUUGUGUGUUGAGAGACCUUUGUCCAUAGAUGCCACAUAUAAAAUACAAACUUUUUUGCAAAG